rnacentral:ncRNA from 1 species
UGAGGGAAAGAUGAAAAGAACUUUGAAAAGAGAGUUAAAAAGUACUUGAAAUUGUUGAGGGGGAAGGGAUUGGAAGUCGCGGGUGCGCCCAGGCUGAUGCUCGUCCUUACCGACGUGCUGUAUGUGCUGGGUGCUGGUCAGCAUCGAUUGGCGGGGCGGGAGAAAAGCGGUGGUUGAUACGCCGCCUAUGUCGCUCCGCCGAUCGAGGUCUCAAGCGCGCGCUCUGCGUGUCCUCGGACAACUGCGCGCUCAAGAUGCUGGCGCAAGGCUUCCAAUCUGCCCGUCUUGAAACACGGACCAAGGAGUCUAACAUGUAUGCGAGUUGGUGGGUGGAAAACCCAUGAAGCGCAAGUAACCUGACUGGUGGGAGGGCCCUCAAAGCCCGCACCAUCGACCGACCAUGAUCUUCUGUGAAAGGUUUGAGUACGAGCAUACCUGUUGGGACCCGAAAGAUGGUGAACUAUGCCUGAGCGGGCGAAGCCAGAGGAAACUCUGGUGGAGGCUCGUAGAUGUGCUGACGUGCAAAUCGCUUUUCGGACUUGGGUAUAGGGGCGAAAGACUAAUCGAACCAU